CCUACGGGAGGCAGCAGUGGGGAAUAUUGGACAAUGGGCGAAAGCCUGAUCCAGCCAUGCCGCGUGUGUGAAGAAGGCCUUCGGGUUGUAAAGCACUUUCAGUGGGGAAGAAAGCCUUGGGGCUAAUACCCUCGAGGAAGGACAUCACCCACAGAAGAAGCACCGGCUAACUCCGUGCCAGCAGCCGCGGUAAUACGGAGGGUGCGAGCGUUAAUCGGAAUUACUGGGGCGUAAAGCGCGCGUAGGCGGUCUGAUAAGCCGGUUGUGAAAGCCCCGGGCUCAACCUGGGAACGGCAUCCGGAAAUGUCAGGCUAGAGUGCAGGAGAGGAAGGUAGAAUUCCCGGUGUAGCGGUGAAAUGCGAAGAGAUCGGGAGGAAUACCAGUGGCGAAGGCGGCCUUCUGGACUGACACUGACGCUGAGGUGCGAAAGAGUGGGUAGCAAACAGGAUUAGAUACCCUGGUAGUC
rnacentral:rRNA from 1 species